GUCGUUAUAGCUCAGUGGCGAGCACUGGUCUCGUAAACCAGGGUCCGAGAGUUAAAACCUUGCUAGCGGCA
rnacentral:tRNA from 1 species